UGGCGCACGGGUGCGUAACACGUAUGCAACCUACCUUUAACCGGAACACAACCCCGCGAAAGCGGGGCUAAUAUUCCAUAACACUGCGAAAAGGCAUCUUAUUGCAGUUAAAACUCCGGUGGUUAUAGAUGGGCAUGCGCGACAUUAGCUAGUUGGUGAGGUAAUGGCUCACCAAGGCGACGAUGUCUAGGGGUUCUGAGAGGAUUAUCCCCCACACUGGUACUGAGACACGGACCAGACUCCUACGGGAGGCAGCAGUAAGGAAUAUUGGGCAAUGGACGAAAGUCUGACCCAGCCAUGUCGCGUGAAGGAUGAAGGCCCUAUGGGUUGUAAACUUCUUUUGUACGGGAAAAAACCUCCGGUCGUGUAUCGGAGCUGAUGGUACCGUAAGAAUAAGCAUCGGCUAACUCCGUGCCAGCAGCCGCGGUAAUACGGAGGAUGCAAGCGUUAUCCGGAUUCAUUGGGUUUAAAGGGUGCGCAGGCGGACUAAUAAGUCAGUGGUGAAAGCCUACAGCUUAACUGUAGAACUGCCAUUGAUACUGCUAGUCUUGAGUGUUGUUGAGGUAGGCGGAAUGUGUCAUGUAGCGGUGAAAUGCUUAGAUAUGACACAGAACACCGAUCGCGAAGGCAGCUUACCAAGCAACAACUGACGCUCAUGCACGAAAGCGUGGGGAUCAAACAGGAUUAGAUACCCUGGUAGUCCACGCUGUAAACGAUGAUCACUCGAUGUUGGCGAUACACAGUCAGCGUCUGAGCGAAAGUAUUAAGUGAUCCACCUGGGGAGUACGGUCGCAAGAUUGAAACUCAAAGGAAUUGACGGGGGCCCGCACAAGCGGAGGAGCAUGUGGUUUAAUUCGAUGAUACGCGAGGAACCUUACCUGGGCUCGAA
rnacentral:rRNA from 1 species